GUUCCAAGGAGCCACUCAUCAUUGGCCAUCCCAAAGGGAGGUACCCUAAAGGGAGAAAGUUUUUUUGGGAGAUGCUUUGGUACCUUCCUGUGGUGUGGCAGACUAGUUUUCAGCUCCAGCUUAUCACUGAAGCAAAGGUGGGUUUUCACCUCUAACUUAUUAUUUCUGUGAUGAAAAAUUGGUGCCCUGUGCACAAGGGCCUGGCAAUAAGCAACCCACCAAGGAGGGAGGGUAGGGAAGCAGGUGAUGGUUCAUAAAUAGUUACCAAGCAAGGUAGAAAAAGAGAGAAAAAUGAAGAAGACAGACACUUCCACUACUGAAUUCAUCCUGGUCUCUAAAAUAAAACUGUUCACAUAAUGG